GAAAUGCGAUAAGUAAUGUGAAUUGCAGAAUUCAGUGAAUCAUCGAAUCUUUGAACGCACAUUGCGCCUAUUAGUAUUCUAGUAGGCAUGCCUGUUCGAGCGUCAUUUCAACCCUCAAGCCCUGGUUGCUUGGUGUUGGGGACCUGCGGCUGCCCGCAGGCCCUGAAAACCAGUGGCGGGCUCGCUGUCACACCGAGCGUAGUAGCAAUCACCUCGCUCAGGGCGUGCUGCGGGUUCCGGCCGUUAAACAGCCUUACAAAACCCAAGGUUGACCUCGGAUCAGGUAGGAAGACCCGCUGAACUUAAGC
rnacentral:misc_RNA from 1 species